GAUGAACGCUGGCGGCGUGCCUAAUACAUGCAAGUCGAGCGAACGGACGAGAAGCUUGCUUCUCUGAUGUUAGCGGCGGACGGGUGAGUAACACGUGGAUAACCUACCUAUAAGACUGGGAUAACUUCGGGAAACCGGAGCUAAUACCGGAUAAUAUUUUGAACCGCAUGGUUCAAAAGUGAAAGGCGGUCUUGCUGUCACUUAUAGAUGGAUCCGCGCUGCAUUAGCUAGUUGGUAAGGUAACGGCUUACCAAGGCAACGAUGCAUAGCCGACCUGAGAGGGUGAUCGGCCACACUGGAACUGAGACACGGUCCAGACUCCUACGGGAGGCAGCAGUAGGGAAUCUUCCGCAAUGGGCGAAAGCCUGACGGAGCAACGCCGCGUGAGUGAUGAAGGUCUUCGGAUCGUAAAACUCUGUUAUUAGGGAAGAACAUAUGUGUAAGUAACUGUGCACGUCUUGACGGUACCUAAUCAGAAAGCCACGGCUAACUACGUG
rnacentral:rRNA from 1 species